rnacentral:rRNA from 1 species
GACGAACGCUGGCGGCGUGCUUAACACAUGCCAGUCGAACGGAAAGGCCCUGCUUUUGUGGGGUGCUCGAGUGGCGAACGGGUGAGUAACACGUGAGUAACCUGCCCUUGACUUUGGGAUAACUUCAGGAAACUGGGGCUAAUACCGGAUAGGAGCUCCUGCUGCAUGGUGGGGGUUGGAAAGUUUCGGCGGUUAGGGAUGGACUCGCGGCUUAUCAGCUUGUUGGUGGGUAGUGGCUUACCAAGGCUUUGACGGGUAGCCGGCCUGAGAGGGUGACCGGCCACAUUGGGACUGAGAUACGGCCCAGACUCCUACGGGAGGCAGCAGUGGGGAAUAUUGCACAAUGGGCGGAAGCCUGAUGCGGCAACGCCGCGUGCGGGAUGACGGCCUUCGGGUUGUAAACCGCUUUCGCCUGUGACGAAGCGUGAGUGACGGUAAUGGGUAAAGAAGCACCGGCUAACUACGUG